AACGGCACCAGGACCCACAUGAAAAUAUAGAACAACAAAACAAGAAAAAUCGUAGUAACUCUCGGCCACACAUGCAAAUCUUAAGAAACAGGGUUGAAAUGGGUGAAUCGAAAUUACCAAUCAUGAUUUGAAUCAUGCUAUGAACAUAUGAAUGAUUAUAAUCCAGAAGAAAUUCCUCGAGUAUGUCCGUCGUUUCAUUUAAGCAUUUUCACAAACAUAUGGUGUUCGUUUUUAACGCAACUCACGGAGACAUUAACAGAGUGCUUAUCUCAAUCCAAACAAAGGAGACAACAUCUUCAGGAGUUACAACUACUAACCAAUACUUAAUCAUGGUUCGAAUUUCAUUCAAGCCUAGACAACAACUCAUGGACUCUAGUUAAC
rnacentral:lncRNA from 1 species